AUUGAACGCUAGCGGCAUGCCUUACACAUGCAAGUCGAACGGUAACAGGUCUUCGGAUGCUGACGAGUGGCGAACGGGUGAGUAAUACAUCGGAACGUGCCUAGUAGUGGGGGAUAACUACUCGAAAGAGUGGCUAAUACCGCAUGAGAUCUACGGAUGAAAGCAGGGGAUCGCAAGACUUUGUGCUACUAGAGCGGCCGAUGUCAGAUUAGGUAGUUGGUGGGAUAAAAGCUUACCAAGCCGACGAUCUGUAGCUGGUCUGAGAGGACGAUCAGCCACACUGUGACUGAGACACGGCCAAGACUGCUACGGGGGGCAGCAGUGGGGAAUUUUGGACAAUGGGCUCAAGCCUGAUCCAGCAAUGCCGCGUGCAGGAUGAAGGCCUUCGGGUUGUAAACUGCUUUUGUACGGAACGAAAAGCCCUGGGUUAAUACCCUGGGGUCAUGACGGUACCGUAAGAAUAAGCACCGGCUAACUACGUGCCAGCCGCCGCGGUAAAAC
rnacentral:rRNA from 1 species